ACGGGUAAGUGGCGGAACGUCACUCAGCCACGAGAGGAACGAGGUAGCGAGCUGGGCUGCAACGGGGACGGGGCCCCGACACACCACGGGGCCAAGGCAAGCAAGCCAGGUUUCAAACAAACGUGUCUCCCCAUCACGACGCCAUCAGGAGAACUCAGGCUGUGGUGUCGCCGAGAACAUUCCUGAAAGAAGUCAGGACACAGGUUUUCCGAGAUGCAGCGAGGCUCGGCGUUCCUCCCUUCCCGGCGUGGGAGGGUCACCCCCUGACCUCUGCUCUUCUGGGUCACGGGACCACACUUCCCAGGGUGGGUCCCAUCCUCGUGGUGUGGGUGGGACCAUCUGGCAGCCCCCACCCGUAGGCUCUGCCCCGACAGCAAAGCCACUGGGCGCCCUCCCCGCUCCCCGCUCCCCGCUCCGGGCCUGAUCUAGGACGUGCGGAGCUCUGGGCCAUCUUCCCGCUCAGUGUGCCUCUCCCACGUGCUUCCCGUGAACCCGGGCCCCCAGGCCCACCUGCCUGCCUGGCCUCUCCACCCACAUGGUGAGCGGGCAUCCCAGAUUUCACGCGUCCAGACCAAACUUCUGAUUUCCCGCGUGCCCCCAGCCCAGCCCACUCCUCCCUCGUGUCCCCAUCUCAGGAGAUGGCAUCGCCAUCCACCGAGCACAGAGCCCGGGACCGUGCCCGUCCGCUCUGUUUAACGCGCGUGCCACGUCCACCUGACGGCACGUCCCGACGUGUCACCUGGCGGCGUGUCCUGACAGCGCUGCCUCCGAGACGUGUCCCAACCCGAGGAGGCCGAGUCUCGUCCCGCCCCCGUCACAUCCUGCCUAGACCAGCAACGGUCCCCCGACGGGGCUCCGCCCGCACCCUCCUGGCCACGGUCACCCAACCACACGGUGCGGGCCGCCCCACCUCACUGCCUCGCAGGCGCUCGGCCAGGCAGACAAGGAGCGCAGGCAACAGCAGGGGGUGGGGGUCCCCCGAGGGAGUUCGGAGUCCGGGACGACCUCAGUAGCUGCUACAGCCUGGGCAGCCUCUCUCGCGCGUAAAUCUCGGCCGUGGCGCCUCGUCCUACCCGGCGCCACGCCAUCGGGCACAGGCCCAGAAAGCCGAGGCCCCCUUGGGACGACGAGGCGCAGCUCUCAGGGACGGUCGGCACUGGACGUCUUCAGAAGAGCGCGGACCGGCCUUGCGGCCUCAGAGGGGCUCCCUUCCGUGCUUCCUGCCACGGCACGAGGCCCGUGAGUCACCGGGCACAGGUGAGGGUCACACUGCGGCCUCGUGUCAAACCCUUGUCUUACCAACCAUCAGAGCCAGGAGCCGAAAGUCAUCGGUGCCUUGCCUUGGGGUUUGCCAGAAUGAACCGCACCUCGGGGAGGUUUUUGGUGCACACGGCCCAUUUGACUUGUGUGUGUGUGUGUGUGUGUGUGUGUGUGUACGUGUGCUCACGCACCUGUCACGCAGAAUGUCCCACAGUGACCACUCGUGAUCGUACGUUCACUGGCAGUGACCACAUCCACGCUCUCGCGCCACCAUCCCCACCGCCCGCCCCCCAAACGCUUUCAUCGUCCCGUGCGACGAUCACUCUGAGCCGCUAAAUGAUAGCUCCCCACCCCCACCCCACCCGGGCCCCGGCAGCCACCAGCCCCCCCCGCCCCAUCCCCGUGAGUGAGCGGCGCUGGCCUGCCUCGUGUAUGUGAACUGCGGCUCACGUCCCCGAGCGCGGUGUCCUCGAGGUUCACCCGGGCCGUCUCCUGUGUCACAACCUCCUUCCCUUUCAAGGCUACGCGGUAUUUCAUCCCGUGUGUAAAUCACACUUUGUGGAUCCCCUGGCUUGUC